UUUGAUCCUGGCUCAGGAUGAACGCUGGCGGUAUGCUUAACACAUGCAAGUCGAACGGAGUGCUUCGGCACAAUCUGGCUUCGGGUUCGGGACAACAGUGGGAAACUGCUGCUAAUACCGGAUGUGCCGCAAGGUAAAAGAUUAACUGCCCGAAGAUGAGCUCGCGUCCGAUUAGCUAGUUGGUGUGGUAAGAGCGCACCAAGGCACCGAUCGGUAGCUGGUCUGAGAGGACGAUCAGCCACACUGGGACUGAGACACGGCCCAGACUCCUACGGGAGGCAGCAGUGGGGAAUUUUCCGCAAUGGGCGAAAGCCUGACGGAGCAAUACCGCGUGAGGGAGGAAGGCUCUUGGGUUGUAAACCUCUUUUCUCAGGGAAGAGCACAAUGACGGUACCUGAGGAAUCAGCAUCGGCUAACUCCGUGCCAGCAGCCGCGGUAAUACGGAGGAUGCAAGCGUUAUCCGGAAUGAUUGGGCGUAAAGCGUCCGCAGGUGGCUUAUCAAGUCGAUUGUCAAAGGUCCUGGCUCAACUGGGAACAGGCAGUGGAAACUGAGAAGCUAGAGUGCGGUAGGGGUAGAGGGAAUUCCCGGUGUAGCGGUGAAAUGCGUAGAGAUCGGGAAGAACACCAGUGGCGAAAGCGCUCUACUAGGCCUGCACUGACACUCGGGGACGAAAGCUAGGGGAGCGAAUGGGAUUAGAUACCCCAGUAGUCCUAGCCGUAAACGAUGGAUACUAG
rnacentral:rRNA from 1 species